UGGGGAAUAGUGUAAUUGGUAGCACGAGUGACUCUGAAUCACUUAGUCGGGGUUCAAGUCCCUGUUCCCCAG
rnacentral:tRNA from 1 species